GCCAGGGCGCCGAGCGAGGGGCCAGGCCCUGGCACAGCCGGCACCCCCCGCCCUGAGGCCCGUCAGGGGCGGGCGGAUGCUUGGGCGUCGCCUCAGCUACCCCAGGCGCCUGGGCAGGAGGGCUCGGGCGGGCGCCGCUGAAGGGAGGGGACUGCGGGGGGCGGGUUAACAGCACCCAAGGCCGUUGUAGGCUUCAGCCGUCCCCAAAGGAGCGGGGACCCGGCGCAAGGCUCGGUGCCUGUGAAGCGCAACAUGGCGACAAGGCCGACGGCACCCGGAGGCCUAGUAGGUACUGAGAACCGGCGAGGCUAAAGCGGCCUGGACGACCAUUAAGACCUCUUACGUCUGGGCGGCGCGGAGACUACAUUUCCCAGAGGGCCUCGCGCGGCGCGGGCUUGGCGGGGGCGGGGAAAAGGAAGCGCCUCGGAGCCAGUGCGCAGGCGUGAGAGUCCCCGCUGGCUACUUAAGGGAGGCUCGCUCGCUGUUCUUCCUUUCGCGUCUGCGGCGCUCUCUCUUCUUUGUGGUGUGCUGUCUGUUCCUCAUCCGAUGUCGUCUCAACCCUGGAAUCAGAAUUUGCUACUAUUUGCGUGAUCAGACGCUACAGAAUGAAUCUUGGCGGAGGGGUCCCUGCCGGGGCUCCAAGGGAACCACGUGUCGACAGGCAGAACCUUCAGCUUCCUGACGUCUGGAGUAAGCACGUUUUUCUUUUUUUUGGCCUGUUGCAGGAAUUUGUGCUCUGAGGAACCUCUUGGUUUGCUAGGCCGCCUUGCAGGGGAACAAAAGAGACUAAGGGUAACUAAUAAGCAUAUUUUAGUUACUCGGUUUUCUUGAGGUAUUCUGAAUUCGUUUUAUUAUAAUUCACAAAAACAUAUGUAUUAGACACAUUUCAAACUAGGAUAAGUGAAUCGGUGUUAAUUUUUAAAUGCUCCUUAUGCCACAUACUCAGAUGCCCAUUCCUUCCCUUUUUUAGUAAUAAACAGCUUUUUGUACUUAAAUUUCCAAAUGGGUGCAUACUGUGAUACAUUGCUUUUCUAAGGAAGGCCAAAUGUUUCUUUUGACCAUGUUAGUCUAGUUUCAAAAUGCCACCCUAAUGCUGGGAUGAAUGCUCUGAAAUGAAGUUUUCCUUACACCUUGCUGUGUUAGAAGUGAUGACAUGUUGCGUUCAAGUAUGAUGAUAUCCUGACACAGUCAAAACGCUGCAGUCACUUAAGUAAAAGCCAACCAUUUUCCCACAGCUCUUGCCAGCCAUGCUGGUCUCUAUCAAAUAUUAACUACAGAAAGCCGGGUGUUUGUAGAGUCCAAGAGCUUCCUGCUGGCAAUAAUGAUGACUGAACUUUUUUCCCCGACAGAUCGACCAUGUUGAUCUAACUUCUCUAAGCCAGUUUCUGUCUGAUAUGCCAACUUGAGCAGCUCUUCUGUCCCCUCACUGCUUUUGCAUCUAGCUGACUUAACAGGUCAUGUUUCAAAUGUUUUCAUCUCAGGCUCACUGUUGGCAGCAAACAGGCAUUGAAUGGACCGUGAUGGAUCCAGGACUGGGAGAGAAUUUGUAAGUCAUAUCUGUUUAACUGCUUUUCUUUUGAAGGGGUUAUCCCCCUAUGUUCUACUUUUCUGUGACUCAAGUAUGGCCAUUGCAGCUGAUGACUUGACUUUUUUCCCCAUCAGAUCGACCCUGUUGAUCCAACUGAACUAUUAGCCAGUUUUGUCUGAUGCAUUGGCCUCAAAGAUAACUCCUAUUUGUUUUCUGUUUACCACUGACUUUCUGUAUGGUUUUUUUUUUUUUUUAGUGGGAAUUGGACGUCAUUCAAAUAAUUUAUCUUUGCUUCCUCUUACUUUCCUACAGGACCAGAGCCCUGUGUACAUCAGGGCCUACAUAGGUUGAUGGCUGCCUGAUUUCAGUUUGGUUCAGUUCUGUAAUAGGUAAGAUUUUUGUAAAUUUUUGUCCGCUAGGUGUUAACCCCUUGGUAAAAUGAUAACUGAAUGUGUUGCAGGUAGUGAAGUGUUGGGUUUGCCCACUUGGGAGUGACUUGGGGACCAGUUGCAAGUUGGGUUCCAAGUUACCUUUUGAGUUCCAGAUGGCUUAUAAUUCAUUAUGAAAGACUGAAUUCUUAACACUUAGUUGGAUGCCAACCUCAAUACAUUACUCCAUGUGCCUCUUAAACAUGGCGGACAGACUCCUCUGUCCAGUGGCAAAGGAGUCUGGGUUUGAUCCCCUGGUCAGAGAACUAGGUCCUAUGUGCAUCAGCUAAGGCCUGGUACAGCCAAGUCAAUAGAAAUAAAUAUUUUAAAACUAACUACUGCCUUGCAUCAUCACAGUGAGCAAAUCGAGACAGUUUUUUACCUUCUGCCUCUCUUCUUAAACAUAACACUUUGUAUGCCUGCUUAUCCCCUUUACCUUCAGAUGCCUCCAUUUGUCCCUAAAGUAUCCUUUGCAUUUAUUUCAUGCAGAAUGUUGAGUAGAAUCAAUAUUUGGCAUAUCAGGAACAAUAUUGACUUUGAUGGGCAGACCCCAGACUGGAAGCCUCCCUCCUUGGUCUGGUAACUGUGCAUCAUCCUAGUUCCUGAAGUCUAGAUACUCCAACAUCCCAAACAGCCAUUUGCAUCCUAAUGAAGUACUGAUUGUGAUGUAUCUUUCUUUUUAAGGAAUUUCAGCUGUGGAGUCAGAAUGCAAGGCCUCUUGAGAAAGAUGUACAUUUACUUCUGAGAAAGCAUGAAGAUUUAGGUUGUUGUUUAACCUGAGUGUCCAGAGGUAAAAAUCUUGUGGCUGUUGUGAAAAAUGUAGUGUUAUAUUAAGUUUUGGUUAUUAAGGUUUUAACUUUGUAGCCUUCCUGUCUGGAGAAAUAAAAUCCUUUAAAUGAAAAUGCUGUUCUCUUGAGUCAUUAGACCUUGAACCAAAUGAUACUGAGUUAAAAGGUGGAUCCCACACUCUACAUGACUUGUUGACAUCCUCUGAUAGUUCCCUUCCUCUCUUAACCUCCUAACCUUGAUGAAACAAGCUAGCAAAAAUUAAGAGACCUCGA
ensembl:lncRNA